rnacentral:rRNA from 1 species
UACGUAGGCAGCAAGCGUUGUUCGGAGUUACUGGGCGUAAAGAGUGUGUAGGCGGUUCUCUAAGUUCCGUGUGAAAUCUCCCGGCUCAACUGGGAGGGUGCGCGGAAAACUGGAGGGCUUGAGUAUGGGAGAGGAAAGCGGAAUUCCUGGUGUAGCGGUGAAAUGCGUAGAUAUCAGGAGGAACACCGGUGGUGUAGACGGCUUUCUGGACCGUAACUGACGCUGAGACACGAAAGCGUGGGUAGCAAACAGG